UUUAAUUGGAGAGUUUGAUCCUGGCUCAGAAUGAACGCUGGCGGCGUGCUUAACACAUGCAAGUCGCACGAGAACUCUUCUGCUUGCAGAAGAUAGUAAAGUGGCGCACGGGUGAGUAACGCGUGGGUAAUCUACCUCUAACUCGGGGAUAACAUCGCGAAAGUGAUGCUAAUACCGGAUAAUAUCUAAAUCGCUUCGGCAUUUUAGAUCAAGGGUGGCCUCUAUAUAUAAGCUACUGAUUGGAGAUGAGCCCGCGUACCAUUAGCUUGUUGGUAGGGUAAUGGCCUACCAAGGCUACGAUGGUUAGCUGGUCUGAGAGGAUGAUCAGCCACACUGGAACUGACACACGGUCCAGACUCCUACGGGA
rnacentral:rRNA from 1 species